UAUAUAAAAAGUAAAAAACUAAUAGAAUAAAUAUCUAUAAUCAAAUAAUAAAUUUUUAUAUAA
rnacentral:tRNA from 1 species